GACGAACGCUGGCGGCGUGCUUAACACAUGCAAGUCGAACGCUGAAGCCCGUUCGGGGGUGGAUGAGUGGCGAACGGGGGAGUAACACGUGGGUAAUCUGCCCUGCACUCUGGGAUAAGCCUUGGAAACGGGGUCUAAUACCGGAUAGGACACAUCGCCGCAUGGGGUGUGUGGAAAGUGCCGGCGGUGCAGGUUGAGCCCGCGGCCUAUCAGCUUGUUGGUGGGGUGAUGGCCUACCAAGGCGACGACGGGUAGCCGGCCUGAGAGGGUGACCGGCCACACUGGGACUGAGACACGGCCCAGACUCCUACGGGAGGCAGCAGUGGGGAAUCUUGCGCAAUGGGCGAAAGCCUGAUGCAGCAACGCCGCGUGGGGGAUGACGGCCUUCGGGUUGUAAACCUCUUUCGACCGGGACGAAGGGUGACUGACGGUACCGGUAGAAGAAGCACCGGCUAACUACGUGCCAGCCGCCGCAGUAA
rnacentral:rRNA from 1 species